rnacentral:ncRNA from 1 species
GAUACUGUUGGGUAAAUUUUAAAUUUCUUUUAAUUGAUUCUUAAAGAAAAAAAAAAAGAAUCAAUUAAAAGAUUAUUUAACUAUAGUCAAAUAUUUGUAUUAUACUUUUUCUUUAUAUGUAAAUGAUUGUUAAUAGAAGAUUAUAUUUUUAAAUUUAAAUAUAAAUUAAGAAAUGUAUUAAAGGCUGGGCGAAUUCUUGUGCCAGCCGCCGCGGUUAUACAAGACAGUCAAAUAAAUAUAAACUAUUAAAAUAUAAAGAAAUUAUAUUAAUUGUUUUAAAUAAGGUUAAAUUUUAAAAAAAACAGAAUAUUAAUUUAGUGUUUUAUAAAUUAUUGCUAUGACUAGGAUUAGAUACCCUAUUAUAUUAAUAACGAUUGGUAGUAAGAUUAAUAUUGAAACCAAAAGAGUUUGGCGGUAUUUUAAUCUAUUUAGAGGAAUUUGCCCUAUAAAGGAUAUAACGCCACUAUUUUACUUUAAUUAGUGAGGCCAAUUUGUAUACCGCUAUCUUUUGUACAAUAUUUAAUAAUAAUUGUAUAAAAUUAUAAAGUUAAAAAUGUUAGGUCAAGGUGCAGUUUAUAUUAAAGUUUGAGGUGAAUUAUAUUAAUUAUUAUUGAACUAUUUUAAGUUUUAAGAGUCUUAAAAAAGAAAGAUUUAAUAGUAAAUUUAUGAAACAAUCUUAAGUUGAAUUAAGCUCUAAAAUAUGCACAUAUCGCCCGUCGCUUUCAAGUAAUAUUGAGAUAAGUCGUAACAAAGUAAAAGUACCGGAAGGUGUUUUU